rnacentral:rRNA from 1 species
UCAAGUCCUCAUCGCCCUUACGGGCUGGGCUACACACGUGCUACAAUGGCGGUGACAAUGGGAUGCUAAGGGGCGACCCUUCGCAAAUCUCAAAAAGCCGUCUCAGUUCGGAUUGGAGUCUGCAACUCGACUCCAUGAAGUUGGAAUCGCUAGUAAUCGUGGAUCAGCAUGCCACGGUGAAUACGUUCCCGGGCCUUGUACACACCGCCCGUCACACCAUGGGAGUUGGUUCUACCUGAAGGCAGUGCGCUAACCCGCAAGGGAGGCAGCUGACCACGGUAGGGUCAGCGACUGGGGUGAAGUCGUAACAAGGUAACC